rnacentral:tRNA from 3 species
UAUAGCUCAGCUGGGAGAGCGCUUGCAUGGCAUGCAAGAGGUCAGCGGUUCGAUCCCGCUUAGCUCCACCA